rnacentral:rRNA from 1 species
GACGAACGCUGGCGGCGUGCUUAACACAUGCAAGUCGAACGGAUUGCUUGGUGCUUGCACUGAGUGGUUAGUGGCGAACGGGUGAGUAACACGUGAGUAACCUGCCCCCUUCUUUGGGAUAAGCACCUGAAAGGGUGUCUAAUACUGAUUAUUCUGCUGGAAUCGCAUGGUUUUGGUUGGAAAGGUUUUUCUGGUGGGGGAUGGGCUCGCGGCUUAUCAGCUUGUUGGUGGGGUAAUGGCUUACCAAGGCUUUGACGGGUAACCGGCCUGAGAGGGUGACCGGUCACAUUGGGACUGAGAUACGGCCCAGACUCCUACGGGAGGCAGCAGUGGGGAAUAUUGCACAAUGGACGGAAGUCUGAUGCAGCGACGCCGCGUGAGGGAUGAAGGCCUUCGGGUUGUAAACCUUUUUCGCUUUUGACCAAGGCAGCAUUUUGGUGUUGUUGAGGGUAUGAGGUAAAGAAGCUCCGGCUAACUACGUG